GCCCCACAACAUUUACACACACCUACAUCAGAUACACACUGCUGUAUUCGCUAUACAUACACUACAUCCACUAAAUCAACUCUGGGGUCCUCCUGGAGCCUCUCUGUCCUGGAACAGGAUAGGGUCUAUUCACUCCCAGGGACUGAAUGAUACAACGUCCUGGGAGCUAUAGUCCUUACACAGACUUUCCCUGCUGAAUCCUCCAUUAGCUGGAACAAAGUGCUUAACAGUGAUUAGCCCUUUCCUCUUCCAGUAACUAGACAACACAUAGUUCUGGGAGUACAACUGAUUUUAAUGAGCAAGACUGGGCCUUCUAUGCACAGACCCCAGCAGGUGUCUCCAUUGUAUUCAACACAAGCCCCUCCCAGUAAUCUCUGGGCCGGGGAGAUAAUUGCAUUAAAGACCGGUAAGGAACAGACAGCCAAACACAAAAUAUAAAAACAUAAAGUACCCCAAAACAUAAUAAAAACAUAAAAACCCCCACAAAUAAUACAUCCCCAAAUAGCCCUGGUCUGAGCGCCCAAGUUCUCCAAAUAGCCCUCAGAUCCAUGCAGUGUAGGAUAAAUGCCACCGUGUUAAAGUUCUGACCGACCGCACACGUGGUCCUAUGCCCAAAAUAGUUCCAGGGCAUUUGCUGAUUUUACCGGUCAACCUCCAGGAGCUCCUGCAGAUGCAAUAUGGGGUUCUCUGCCUUGCUCUCCGGUAGUGUUUGCGCACACACACACACACACACACACACAUUUCAUCCUUGUGGGUGAACUCAGGAUGGGCCCUGUUGGUGGACUCGGGGGCAGGCUCUGUGAGCAGACUCGAGGCAGCCCGGUUGGUGAUCUCAGGGGUGGGCCCCAGAACUUAAGCUGUGUCAGGCCCCAAAAUGUCUAAUGACAGCUCUGUUUGUCAUUGAGCUACUGAGGAAUAAACAUAGGGCUUGCAAAGGCAGCAGACAAGAGAGCUGCACUUUGUUUCCCUUCCUCACGUAGGGGAAUUGCAAGCUGGAAGGGCCCCCCCCCUCAGAGCCCACCCACAUUCCUCAAAGCUGACCUGCCCGCACUGUUGAGAGAGGCCUCCAGCCCACCCUAUUACGCAGAGCAACCCGCCCAUUCCCCUGCCAUUCUCCAAUAUUCAAAUAACUGUCUCUCUG